GGGGUGGGCAGGCGCAUGCGCGCGCGCAGCUGAAACGCCGGCUGAUGAAACUGACAAAGGCGAGAGCGCGCAGCAGCCCACAGCAGCCGAGUUCGCGCCGCCGGUAGGUGCUGCCAUGCCAGGGGGCGGGAUCGUGGAGCGCCUCGCAGAACCGCACGAAAGCAAAAACAAAGCCAUCUCUCCGGAGCAGAAAUAGAACAGACGUGGCCGGGGAAAGCCAAAUAUUUGUGGCUGGACUCAGACACAUCACGCUCCAGUUUGGGUUCCAAGGUGCUUCUCUCUGGAUUUUCACCUGCCUUGCCAAAAAUGAUUGAUUACGCUGGGCCAACUGGGUGUCCGGCAAUACCCAACAAAUGACUUUGGCCCCUAACAGCAGGUCUUGGCCAGACAGAAAUCAAUAUUUCACCAUUAAAAUCUAUCAAAGAAGAGUUAAGGCACCAUCUGUCCCUGCCGCCUCUCUAUGUUAAAAUCCUGGAUAUGGAGUCCGAGAUAUGGAAGGCCAAUUGGCUGCCAAAGAAAUGGGAGAGACAACACGUGCGGUGGCUUCAAAGGAGGAGGGAGAGUUGAGUUUAAACUAAUGAAGUAAAGGCAGGGAUGGGAGACUGAAAGGAAGGAAGACGCUGACACUUCUUCAGUGUGAUUGUAUGCCAUACACUGUGCUGGGUGCUGUUAAUACAACAACGCUUCUGGCUAUGUACUGUUUAACCCCAUUAGAAAUAAAGCAACAGGAGUUCAGA
rnacentral:lncRNA from 1 species